UAUGAGAUUUGAGAGGAGCUGCUCCUAGUACGAGAGGACCGGAGUGGACGAACCUCUGGUGUUCCGGUUGUCACGCCAGUGGCAUUGCCGGGUAGCUAUGUUCGGAAGGGAUAACCGCUGAAAGCAUCUAAGCGGGAAGCCCCCCUCGAGAUGAGAUCUCACCAAAUCUUCGGAUUUCUAAAGGGCCCUCGUAGACUACGAGGUUGAUAGGCAGGGUGUGUAAGCGCUGCGAGGCGUUGAGCUAACCUGUACUAAUUGCCCGUGCGGCUUGACCAU
rnacentral:rRNA from 1 species